GGCGGUGUGCCUAAUACAUGCAAGUCCCAUGCGUUGGCCCAAUUGAUUGGCGGUGCUUGCAUCUGAUUGAUUUUGGUCGCCAACGAGUGGCGGACGGGUGAGUAACACGUAGGUAACCUGCCCAGAAGCGGGGGACAGCAUUUGGAAACAGAUGCUAAUACCGCAUAACAGCGUUGUUCGCAUGAACAACGCUUAAAAGAUGGCUUCUCGCUAUCACUUCUGGAUGGACCUGCGGUGCAUUAGCUUGUUGGUGGGGUAACGGCCUACCAAGGCGAUGAUGCAUAGCCGAGUUGAGAGACUGAUCGGCCACAAUGGGACUGAGACACGGCCCAUACUCCUACGGGAGGCAGCAGUAGGGAAUCUUCCACAAUGGGCGCAAGCCUGGUGGAGCAACACCGCGUGAGUGAAGAAGGGUUUCGGCUCGUAAAGCUCUGUUGUUAAAGAAGAACACGUAUGAGAGUAACUGUUCAUACGUUGACGGUAUUUAACCAGAAAGUCACGGCUAACUACGUGCCAGCAGCCGCGGUAAUACGUAGGUGGCAAGCGUUAUCCGGAUUUAUUGGGCGUAAAGAGAGUGCAGGCGGUUUUCUAAGUCUGAUGUGAAAGCCUUCGGCUUAACCGGAGAAGUGCAUCGGAAACUGGAUAACUUGAGUGCAGAAGAGGGUAGUGGAACUCCAUGUGUAGCGGUGGAAUGCGUAGAUAUAUGGAAGAACACCAGUGGCGAAGGCGGCUACCUGGUCUGCAACUGACGCUGAGACUCGAAAGCAUGGGUAGCGAACAGGAUUAGAUACCCUGGUAGUCCAUGCCGUAAACGAUGAGUGCUAGGUGUUGGAGGGUUUCCGCCCUUCAGUGCCGGAGCUAACGCAUUAAGCACUCCGCCUGGGGAGUACGACCGCAAGGUUGAAACUCAAAGGAAUUGACGGGGGCCCGCACAAGCGGUGGAGCAUGUGGUUUAAUUCGAAGCUACGCGAAGAACCUUACCAGGUCUUGACAUCUUGCGCCAACCCUAGAGAUAGGGCGUUUCCUUCGGGAACGCAAUGACAGGUGGUGCAUGGUCGUCGUCAGCUCGUGUCGUGAGAUGUUGGGUUAAGUCCCGCAACGAGCGCAACCCUUGUUACUAGUUGCCAGCAUUAAGUUGGGCACUCUAGUGAGACUGCCGGUGACAAACCGGAGGAAGGUGGGGACGACGUCAGAUCAUCAUGCCCCUUAUGACCUGGGCUACACACGUGCUACAAUGGACGGUACAACGAGUCGCGAACUCGCGAGGGCAAGCAAAUCUCUUAAAACCGUUCUCAGUUCGGACUGCAGGCUGCAACUCGCCUGCACGAAGUCGGAAUCGCUAGUAAUCGCGGAUCAGCAUGCCGCGGUGAAUACGUUCCCGGGCCUUGUACACACCGCCCGUCACACCAUGAGAGUUUGUAACACCCAAAGUCGGUGGAGUAACCUUUUAGGAGCCAGCCGCCUAAGGUGGGAC
rnacentral:rRNA from 1 species